rnacentral:rRNA from 1 species
AGUUCGAACGGAAAGGCCCUUUCGGGGUACUCGAGUGGCGAACGGGUGAGUAACACGUGGGUGAUCUGCCCUGCACUUUGGGAUAAGCCUGGGAAACUGGGUCUAAUACCGAAUAUGACCGCGCUCUUCAUGGGGUGUGGUGGAAAGCUUUUGCGGUGUGGGAUGGGCCCGCG